rnacentral:rRNA from 1 species
UACCAGCAGCCCCGAGUGGUCGGGACGUUUAUUGGGCCUAAAGGCAUCCGUAGCCUGUUCUGCAAGUCCUCCGUUAAAUCCACCUCGCUCAACGGAUGGGCUGCGGAGGAUACCGCAGAGCUAGGAGGCGGGAGAGGGCAAAGCGGGUACUCUAGUGGGUAGGGUAAAAUCCAUUGAAUCUACUGAAGACCACCGAGUGGCGA